AGCGAACGCACGCGCCACGGGCCCUCCGGCCGCGUCUCUCGAUGGACUCCGCUUGCCAGGCCUAAGGAGUUGAGCGCCGAUCACCAGGAUCCUGGAAGGAAGGAAGAUGGCGGCCCCCGAGCAUCUUUUUAUCAGCCAGGGCAAUGACAGCUGAUGUGUCUGGGGACAAGCAUCUCCUCUGCCGAUCAGAAUGAGGAAUAAGAGGAAAACAAUGGAGAGGAAGCAAACACGUUGACAGGAGGAUCUCCUGAAACUUGGAGCAUCUGUCUAGAGAUCACGACGUUACACACUCAAAAUGAGGCGGAAGCAAACCACAGAAACUGAACAUGGUUUCACAUCAGAGCAAUUGGGAAACAUUUUCAUGUCAACACUUCUUUUAACGCCUUGAAAUACAGCUCGUUGAGCUUUACUGCACUCUACCAAAUCUCAAUUACAACAUUCUAUGCACAGACAAAGCAACAAUUAAGCAUGGAAGGAAAGAAAGCAAAUUGCUACUAAUGGAAUUGAAAUACUGUGUAAAAAGCCUUGGCAGUAACGAUGGUUUGAAAAACCACAGAAAGUGGGUAGGAGUGCAGUGACCACAAGCACUUGGGUGUCCCUGAUUUUUUUUUGCCGGAUCGGGAGCUUAAUUGUUAAUAACACCUCCCCUACUAAAACUUUGAUGAAAAUGGACCACACUGCAGCGGAUACUGAAGACCAAGGAACUGACAGUUGAAAAAUGAACUUUCCUGUAUAAUAGUCUUUCCCAACCGUGCCACUUUAAAACAUGCGGACUUCAACUCCCAGUCAGCCAGGGGAAUUCUGAGAGUUGAAGUAUACAUAUCUUAAAAGUUGCCAAUUUGAGAAACACUGCUCUAAAUAGUCCAGUCCUAUUCUCAGUCCUUAACGAAGAUAGGGAACCAUAAAAUGUCAAAAAGAUUUCCAACUUAUAAGGCCCAUGAUUAUACCAAACUCUGACAGACUAAAUGGGAAGAGAAGACCCCCAGAGACCCUUGGUGCAUAGGAUGUAGAUGAGUAGUAGACGGCAUAAAAGACCUUUCCCCUAUCUUUAGAUCUUUUAUAAAAAUCAUAGAAUAUUGGGAUAGAACUUAUGAAAUAUUUGCUUUUCACGAGCAGCCUCUUGUCAACUAGUUUUUGAUAACUUACAUAUAUUAUGGCAGUGGUGGCGAACCUAUGGCACGGGUGCCAGGGGCGGCACUCAGAGCCCUCUCUGUGGACACGUGCGUCGUCGCCCCAGUCCUAGGCCUUCAGCUGGGUUUUAUAAACCCUUUUUGCU